rnacentral:rRNA from 1 species
GAGUAACACGUGGAUAACCUACCUAUAAGACUGGGAUAACUUCGGGAAACCGGAGCUAAUACCGGAUAAUAUUUUGAACCGCAUGGUUCAAAAGUGAAAGACGGUCUUGCUGUCACUUAUAGAUGGAUCCGCGCUGCAUUAGCUAGUUGGUAAGGUAACGGCUUACCAAGGCAACGAUGCAUAGCCGACCUGAGAGGGUGAUCGGCCACACUGGAACUGAGACACGGUCCAGACUCCUACGGGAGGCAGCAGUAGGGAAUCUUCCGCAAUGGGCGAAAGCCUGACGGAGCAACGCCGCGUGAGUGAUGAAGGUCUUCGGAUCGUAAAACUCUGUUAUUAGGGAAGAACAUAUGUGUAAGUAACUGUGCACAUCUUGACGGUACCUAAUCAGAAAGCCACGGCUAACUACGUGCCAGCAGCCGCGGUAAUACGUAGGUGGCAAGCGUUAUCCGGAAUUAUUGGGCGUAAAGCGCGCGUAGGCGGUUUUUUAAGUCUGAUGUGAAAGCCCACGGCUCAACCGUGGAGGGUCAUUGGAAACUGGAAAACUUGAGUGCAGAAGAGGAAAGUGGAAUUCCAUGUGUAGCGGUGAAAUGCGCAGAGAUAUGGAGGAACACCAGUGGCGAAGGCGACUUUCUGGUCUGUAACUGACGCUGAUGUGCGAAAGCGUGGGGAUCAAACAGGAUUAGAUACCCUGGUAGUCCACGCCGUAAACGAUGAGUGCUAAGUGUUAGGGGGUUUCCGCCCCUUAGUGCUGCAGCUAACGCAUUAAGCACUCCGCCUGGGGAGUACGACCGCAAGGUUGAAACUCAAAGGAAUUGACGGGGACCCGCACAAGCGGUGGAGCAUGUGGUUUAAUUCGAAGCAACGCGAAG